rnacentral:rRNA from 1 species
GACGAACGCUGGCGGCGUGCUUAACACAUGCAAGUCGAGCGGUAAGGCCCCUCCGGGGGUACACGAGCGGCGAACGGGUGAGUAACACGUGAGCAACCUGCCCCCGACUCCGGGAUAAGCGGUGGAAACGCCGUCUAAUACCGGAUACGACCAACCGGCUCAUGCCGGGUGGUGGAAAGUUUUUUCGGUUGGGGAUGGGCUCGCGGCCUAUCAGCUUGUUGGUGGGGUAAAGGACUACCAAGGCGAUUACGGGUAGCCGGCCUGAGAGGGCGAACGGCCACACUGGGACUGAGACACGGCCCAGACUCCGGCGGGAGGCAGCAGUGGGGAAUCUUGCGCAAUGGGCGAAAGCCUGACGCAGCGACGCCGCGCGGGGGAUGACGGCCUUCGGGUUGUAAACUCCUUUUACCACUCACGCAGGCCCGGGGUUCUCUCCGGGUUGACGGUAGGCGGGGAAUAAGGACCGGCUAACUACGUGCCAGCAGCCGCCGUAACAC